CCUGAAUUCACUGUCUACUCCUGUGACCAAAAAAAAGAACAUAAAAAAAUUUACUUUGUUUUACCAUGUACUUUCCAGCCACUAAUUGAGAUGUAGUUAUGAAAGAUUAGAAUUGCCUUAAAAAGGGGUCAUGAUAGCAGCUAUCAAAGCAAUAUUCAAGCAUGAUUUCAAGGAUGCCUUCAGGUUUAGAAUUAGCCUUCCUUGUCAAAAAUCUGCACAACUUCAUCAAAAACUUCAUCAACAGAUUUAGAAGCAUCUAUUUUCUUGACUUUCCCCAUUUCUUCAUAUAAGUCAAUAAUUGGCUUUGUUGACUGAAGGUAGGUCUGAAUUCUCUUUUCCAAGCUCUCUCUGUUGUCAUCACUCCUACCACUACUCUUUCCCCUCUCAAGACAUCGUUCAAUACAAAUCUCAUUAUUACAGUCAAAAAAGAGAACGAAAGAUACAUCUGCCUUCCCAUCCAUGGUCUUGUUCCAUCCUUGAAGGUUGUCUUGAUUUCUUGGAAACCCAUCAAUCAAGAAU
rnacentral:lncRNA from 1 species